rnacentral:rRNA from 1 species
ACUGAACGCUGGCGGCAGGCCUAACACAUGCACGUCGAACGAGUGGCGGACGGGUGAGUAAUGUCUUGGAAACUGCCCGAUGGAGGGGGAUAACUACUGGCAACGGUAGCUAAUACAGCAUACCAUCGGAUGUGCCCAGAUGGGAUUAGCUAGUAGGUGGGGUAACGGCUCACCUAGGCGACGAUCCCUAGCUGGUCUGAGGGGAUGACGAGCCACACUGGAAGUGAGAUACGGUCCAGACUCCUACGGGAGGCAGCAGUGGGUAAUACUGCACAAUGGGCGAAAGCCUGAUGCAGCCAGGCCGCGUGUAUGAAGAUGGCCUUCGGGGUGUAAAGUACUGUCAGCGAGGAGGCGUUACUCGCAGAAGAAGCACCGGCUAACUCCGUGCCAGCAGCCGCGGUAAUAC